rfam:Tupaia chinensis contig101246, whole genome shotgun sequence.
AAUUUCACACCUGGAUGUGCUCACUCAACCAAGAAUAUAGAGAAAGAGCUUCUGCCCUGAGACUCAGAAAAAUAUUCUCCUCUGCUUCGGUUCAGUAUAGAUUUCUAGACCCUGAUCAUUGCCUAAGAGACACUCACUGGGG